ensembl:miRNA
CUCAUUAAAUGUUUGUUGAAUGAAAAAAUGAAUCAUCAACAGACAUUAAUUGGGCGC